AUUGAACGCUGGCGGCAUGCCUUACACAUGCAAGUCGGACGGUAACGGGCCUUCGGGUGCCGACGAGUGGCGAACGGGUGAGUAAUGUAUCGGAACGUACCUUUCAGUGGGGGAUAACGUAGCGAAAGUUACGCUAAUACCGCAUAUUCUGUGCGCAGGAAAGCAGGGGACCUUCGGGCCUUGCGCUGAUUGAGCGGCCGAUAUCAGAUUAGCUAGUUGGUGAGGUAAAGGCUCACCAAGGCGACGAUCUGUAGCGGGUCUGAGAGGAUGAUCCGCCACACUGGAACUGAGACACGGUCCAGACUCCUACGGGAGGCAGCAGUGGGGAAUUUUGGACAAUGGGGGCAACCCUGAUCCAGCCAUGCCGCGUGAGUGAAGAAGGCCUUCGGGCUGUAAAGCUCUUUCGGCCGGGAAGAAAUCGUAUCAGCUAAUACCUGGUGCGGAUGACGGUACCGGCAUAAGAAGCACCGGCUAACUACGUGCCAGCCGCCGCCGUAACAC
rnacentral:rRNA from 1 species